ACCAACACCAGGUCAGGAUUUUACGUGGCAGAAGUAUGGUUAAAGGAUCAAGUGACAGCUGUAAAGGGCCUUUGGUGCUAAAGAAAUCCUAAUAUCUUGCUGCCCAGUUGUAACAAAUGCCUCUUUUUCUGAAGUGUAAGCUAAGAGCCAGACAGCAGAGCUUUUGUACUGUAGCUGUGAUUCACGCAGUCUUUUCAAGUGUAGAAUAAGCAGGUGGAGUCUGUUUUUAUUUCCAAACACCUUUUGACACUUUUUGGUUGUUGUCUUUUGGUUUCUUUACAAAAUACCAAC
rnacentral:lncRNA from 1 species